rnacentral:rRNA from 1 species
AGCCUGAUCCAGCAACGCCGCGUGAGGGAUGACGGCCUUCGGGUUGUAAACCUCUUUCACCGAUGACGAAGCGCAAGUGACGGUAGUCGGAGAAGAAGCACCGGCCAACUACGUGCCAGCAGCCGCGGUAAUACGUAGGGUGCGAGCGUUGUCCGGAAUUAUUGGGCGUAAAGGGCUCGUAGGCGGUUUGUCGCGUCGGGAGUGAAAACCAGGUGCUUAACACCUGGCUUGCUUCCGAUACGGGCAGACUAGAGGUAUGCAGGGGAGAACGGAAUUCCUGGUGUAGCGGUGAAAUGCGCAGAUAUCAGGAGGAACACCGGUGGCGAAGGCGGUUCUCUGGGCAUGACCUGACGCUGAGGAGCGAAAGUGUGGGGAGCGAACAGGAUUAGAUACCCUGGUAGUCCACACCGUAAACGUUGGGCGCUAGGUGUGGGAUCCAUUCCACGGGUUCCGUGCCGCAGCUAACGCAUUAAGCGCCCCGCCUGGGGAGUACGGCCGCAAGGCUAAAACUCAAAUGAA